rnacentral:rRNA from 1 species
CGCAUCUGUGCAUGCAGCAUAUCAAUAAGCGGAGGAAAAGAAACUAACAAGGAUUCCCCUAGUAACGGCGAGUGAAGCGGGAAGAGCUCAAAUUUGAAAUCUUAAAGGGUUUCCCUUUACGAAUUGUAGUUUAAAGAAGUGUUUUCUGUUGAGGUUUUGGUAAAAGUUCUUUGGAAUAGGACAUCAUAGAGGGUGAGAAUCCCGUAUUUGACCUUUACUUUCAACUUUGUGAUACACUUUCAAAGAGUCGGAUUGUUUGGGAAUGCAGUCCAAAAUGGGUGGUAAAUUUCAUCUAAAGCUAAAUAUUGGCGAGAGACCGAUAGCGAACAAGUACCGUGAGGGAAAGAUGAAAAGAACUUUGAAAAGAGAGUUAAACAGUACGUGAAAUUGUCAAAAGGGAAGCGUUUGACACCAGUGUUGUCUUUUCUGAAAAUCAAUUAAAGAACUGUUUAUGCUAAGUUGUUUAGACUUUAUCAGCUAACUGUUUAGUUUUGAGCUUUUCUUUAAUGCACUUUUCAGUUAACAAGUCAACAUCAAUUUCUUUUGCUGUAAAAAAGCUUGAGGAAGGUGGCUUGAGAUUCGUCUUAAGUGUUUAUAGCCUCUUGCCUAUGCAGUCGGAGAGAUUGAGGUCUGCAGCGUAGAUCCUUCGGGGCUAAAUGCAUUUGUGCUAAGUUAUAGCAUUUUAUUAUAGACAACUUGUUGACUAUGAUUUGUCUUAUAGCUUACUCGCUUAUGUUAUUUUACCUACGCUUAGGAUGUUGAGCGCAUGUCUCUCUCU